GACGUAGGGCGCGAGCGUUGUCCGGAUUUAUUGGGCGUAAGAGCGUGUAGGCGGCCAGGUAGGUCUGCUGUGAAAACUCGAGGCUCAACCUCGAGACGUCGGCGGAAACCAUCUGGCUAGAGUCCGGAAGAGGAGAGUGGAAUUCCUGGUGUAGCGGUGAAAUGCGCAGAUAUCAGGAAGAACACCCGUGGCGAAGGCGGCUCUCG
rnacentral:rRNA from 1 species